rnacentral:siRNA from 1 species
GAGGGUAUUGCGAGUAACGUGCU